ACUAACGGCCAUGCCACCCUGAACAAGCCCAAUCCUGUCUGAUCUCAGAAGCUAAGCAGAGUCAGGCCUGGUUAGUACUUGGGUGGGAGACCACCUAGGAAGACCAGGCGCUAUAGGCA
rnacentral:rRNA from 1 species